UACAAAAGAGAAGUACUAAUCCUACGCAAUUCUAUACGCUGCUUUUGAAGCUUGUACAAGUUACAUGCAAGGCGUUUACAUUCUGUAUCACUUGACACUAUCAAAAACUUCAGUCUAUUUCAUUGCCAACCAUCUCAAGCACUUAAACCCGGUACUAGAUAUUUUUAGAUUUCUGCUUUCUAUCACGAAUCAUGAUAAGUUUCAUCACAUUUGUCGAUAUCGAUUUGACUGUCUAGCAAUGUUCUUGCUAUACCACCAUAGAGGUGCAGUGAACCAGAUGGG
rnacentral:misc_RNA from 1 species